rnacentral:rRNA from 1 species
CUCCUACGGGAGGCAGCAGUCGAGAAUUUUUCUCAAUGGGCGAAAGCCUGAAGGAGCGACGCCGCGUGGGGGAUGAAUGGCUUCGGCCCGUAAACCCUGUCAUUUGUGAACAAAUUGACUCACUUAACACGUGUGUCAUUGAUUGUAACGGAAGAGGAAGGGACGGCUAACUCUGUGCCAGCCGCCGCGGUAAUAC